AGAGAGGGGGUGCUUGGUGAGGACUAACUUACGGUAGUGGAAGGGUAAGAAAAUGUGAAUUACAAGAAAUUUAGAGUGAGAGCUGAGAGCUAACUGCAGCUACGUGCGACAGAGUGGAAGAGGAAAACGGAAGUGACGCAACACUCUCACCUGACAUGCGAGUGUUGUGUUUGUGAUUCCACGCUGAUAGGACAUGUCAUUGUUCAAGACAGAUUGAAUAAUUCCAGCGAAUUAUUCCUGAGCCAGAAAUAUCUCCCUAUAAAGCCCGGCCAUGUAGCAGCAUUAUCAAAGCUAUAAUCAGUGUGUGCUUGUCUCCUUUGUUGUCAGCAGCACAGGAUUGGAUACAGGGUUCACUUUGAGGCAGGUGGACCAUAUCCAGGCCUUAUUACUGAUGUAAUUACACACACCUGCGUCCUCCUCGACGCUGCUGCUGCUGCUGCACGGAGCUGCAGCUUGGAAACGCUCUGGAAAACUCAGCUGAUGAAACCUGCAUUUAAUGCUCUGAAGCCUCAACAUGCAGAUUCAUGCUAAUAUCACAAACUUUGGACUGAUUUGAGACUCUGUUUUAAACUUGAAUCUUCUGUUAUUUAAACUUCUGCACCUAAAUUCAGACCUUUCAUUUAUUGUGCACAAAAAGACCGUGGAUCUCUUUCUCUUUGAUUCCACAGCAGGCGUGUGCUCCAUGUUUUGUCUCCACCACAUUUCUGUUGCAUGAUAGCUACAGAUAUUACUCUGUGAUUUUGCACCUUUAGGUCAAUCUGCUCUCUUCAGCUUCAUGCAUGCUGGACGCAGCGUGUGUCUUCAGCAGAGCGGACUGGAGAGGCGCCUCUGGGACGGAUCUGAGACGUGCCAUGAACAUGCUGUGGAAACACGAGCACUGACCAGAGUGGGCAGGGAUCAUCCCUGUAUGCUUGCUGUGAAAUCACGGGGGUUACUCGUAGUUGCGUUGUAGUCAACAAGGAGACUGCUGCUAGCUCUGGAUGCUGCAGUUGGAUGGAUGAUGUGGAAAUAUGUAAUAGAUAAAAAUGGAUCAUAAAGCUCAAAUAAACUUGAGUUAAUCCUC